GAAUAGGAAGGGUUUGGAGGGAUAUGGGCCAGGUGCUGGCAGGUGGGACUAGUUUGGGUUGGGAUAUUUGGUCGGUACGGAGGGGUUAGACCGAAGGGUCUGUUUCCGUGCUGUACAUCUCUUGACAAAGCCUUGUCUGAGGGUGAAAUGUUGUCGUUCCCGUUGAUGCGGGUGGUCCCCUGUCUGUUGUCCUUUUUGUUUCCUUUCUCGGAAAGGACAUCGCGGACAUGGGCAGCGUUCCCGAGGCCCGCUCCGGAACGGGCUGUUCCGUCCUCUUCCAGCCCCUGGGGGGGGAAGGGGCAGCUUGAGUGUAUUGGGAGAGUGGGCCGUUCACCGGGAAUGGGACGGAAGAGCGGUACCGGUAAUGGGGCGAGGGGGAGAUGCCUCAGACCGCCAGAAACACUGGGGCAGCUGCUCGCGUGCUCCUUUUGGAUCUCACAGCACAGGGAGGCCUUUCAUCUGAUUACCUCCCCGUCUCUGUCUCUGUCUCUCUGGCUCUGGCUCUGGCUCUGGCUCUCUGUGUCUCUGUCUCUCUCUCUGCGUCUGUCUGUCUCUCUGAGGUGACAGCGGAUUCCAGCGUAUUGCUGCUUGCUGGGUAAACCUGUUUUUCCUCUGUUUUCCCCCUCUCUCUCCUGCUCAAACCCCUGAACUUCAGGCCGCCCCUGACCUUGUCACUAUCAGUGAAUAGGGAACAGCUUUUCUUCCUCCACCUUAUCUGAACCUAUCACAAUCUUCCCCACUUUCACCAGUUGUAUCUGUGUGUGACCCUCUCUUUCUGUGUCUCUUUCUCUCCUAAGCCCCCUCCCUCACCACAUCCCAUUUACCCACCCCCUCCUGUCAUGCUCCCUCUUUCAAACAGUCUCGUUGUGUUUCCACUGCCUCUUCCCCAUCGUUUCCGUCAAGCACCUCAUCUCACGCUUAGAACCCCUGCAGUGUAGGAGUAGGCCCUUCAGCCCAUCCAACCCACACCUCACCCAGACCUCUGCCUGUAACCCUGCAAUUCCCAUUGGCUAACCCACCUAGCCUACACAUCCCUGGGCACUAUGGGUAAUUUAACAUGGCCAAUGCCCCCUAACCUGCACAUCCCCAAACACUAUGUAAUUUAGCACGGCCAGUCCACCCAAACCUGCACGUCCCUGGAUACUAUAGGACAAUUUAGCAUGGCCAAUCCACCCUCACCUACACAACCCUGGACACUAUGGGUAAUUUAGCCUGACCAAUCCACCCAAACCUGCACAUCCCUGGAUACUAUAGGACAAUUUAGCCUGGCCAAUCCUACACUAAGGGUGGAUUGGCCAUGCUAAAUUACCCAAUCCUCCAUAUCCCUGGGUACUGUUAGGAUAAAAUAGGUCAAGGGAGGGUGGAGCUAUAGCUGCUGUUUGGGGAAUCGAAACUGUAGCUGUAGCUGCUGCUUGGGAAAUCGAAACUGUUGCUUACGUGGCCAGCUCAGCUGCCAACGCCCAAAUGAGCUCAAUAACAGGAAACGUCUAGCAAACGCGAAAUGUCCUAAUAAGGCAAUGCUUAGUAGCUCCGCGAAGCUCUGCUUAGCAAAGAGUAUAUCAGGAGCAGAUUUGGGAGGGGAAGGCAGAACGCACCUUCUCCAGUGAAUGCAUGGUGAUUCACUGUAUCAGCUACGAUUCUGCAAUAAAGCCUGCUUGUGCCAAACAAUUGAGCGUCUGUUGUCUCUCCUCCUAAAACGAACAUGCAAGGACAAAUUCCGUCCUAACAGUACUAUGGGUACUUUAGCACGGCCAAUUCACCCUCACCUACGCAUCUUUGGAUUGUGGGAGGAAGCCGGAGCACCCGGAGAAAACCCUCGCAGGCGCAGGCUGGAAAUGUGCAAACUCCACACGGACAGUCGCCCCUGAGGCUGGAAUUGAACCCGGGUCCCUUGGCGCUGUGACCACUGAGCAACCCCUUAUAAUCCGCCUGCGUUAAGUUCCUUUUGUCACCUGGAGGAAUGUUACAGGGGGGAGCGGGGUUUAAGUCUUGUCUGAGCUGAGAGAGGACACAGGAGAUGCUCCUCAUCAUGCUUUCAUGUGUCAUGUUGCAUAAUUCUUAGAUUUUACAUGUAAAUGUUUAGUUGGGGUUAGAAUUCUUGUAAAUAUAGACAAACGGAAACACUUGUUGAGACAUUUCACCAAACCCCAAGUCGGCAAUUGACAUGCCCGCCCCUGAAAAGAGAACCGUUCGUGGGGUCAGAGUUGACAUUGAGAAUAGCGAAAUGAACAAUGUCCCCGUCGUGUUUGUAUUUUUGCUGACAGAAGGGUAGUUUGCAGUCAGCAGGAACUGUGGGACUAGAGGCUGCGGGCCAGGUCUGCGCUCGGGAGCGUAAAUCCCAACGGGAACCAGAGGCAUUGCUAACGUUUAAGCCAGCUGAGCUUAGCAAGAAAAGGCUGCGACCCUGUGCUUGAACUGAUCAGCCGAAACUUUGGGCGUAGCCAAGGAGAUCUGAAGGCGAAGCUAACGGGAGGGUCUCCUUUCUCAAAAAAACCAGAAAACAUGAGGGAUACCAGGAAGAAUUCCGCUGAAUUCCAGAGAGCUGUGGCAUGCCGUUGAUUUGGGCCACCAAAAGCCUUCUCAGUACUCUACAAGUGACUUCACCAACAUCCUGUACAACUUCAACAUGAUGUCCCAACUCCUUUAUUCAAUGGUGUGAACAAUUAAGCAAAGGCUAUAACUUCACACUGUGGGACUGUUUGCCAAUUGAGACGCAGACCUGGAUCAACAUUUCCUGAGACUGCUCCUCCCUGGAUUCACUGCCUUUACAUUCAGUUGCUGCGAGUCAACAAUUGAAGCCCACAAUGAAAUAAGAAAUUGAAAAGAGAGUGCCGUACUCCCAGAUGUUAAACAGAGGAAGGAGGUUGCACUCUGGAGUGAAGCUCAAUCUUCAUUCAAAGAGAGAGGUGCAGCAGCAGCUUCAGAAGCUCAUGGGACAACUUCCGCAUUCAGACAAUAGGGGAUGUUCUCAUUGGCAGGAGGACUACUCUCCGUUCGGUCCUCCAAGGCUCCCCAUUGGCUUCUAAAGAAGAUCGCCCCCGUUGCAGCGGACAGCUAGGAGCAUGCGCCGUUCUUGCUGACACCGAGGAGCAUGCGCCGUACACUCGGUGGCAAUGCUGCGAUUACUGACAAAUUUAAGUCUCCAAAUGCCAAUAGGAGAAAAAGAAACGGUAGAACCAAUAUUUCUUUUCCCCCGUGACUCGACCUAACCAAACAUGCUCCUCACUAUUUUUGCUAGUCACCUUGCCUGCACCCCUCAUUAUUUUACAAAUCUCAAUAAGGUCACCCCUCAACCUCCUCCACUCCAGAGAAUAAAGUCUCAGCCUCUCCUUAUAACUCAAACCCUUCAGUCCUGGCAACAUCCUGGUAACUCUUUACCGAACCCUCUCUAAUAGUAUUCUUCCCAUAACAGAGCCACCAGAACUGUACUCUGUUGUAAAAGUGGCCUCACCACCAUCCUGUACAAUUUCAAAACGAUGUCCCAACUCCAACAUUCAACGGUGUGUACAAUGAAGGCAAGUGGGCUAAACAACUCUUAACCACUUAGUCUACCAGUGAUGCAACUUUCAAAGAACUAUGUACCUGAACCAUACCUCCAUGUCUCUGUUCUACAACAUAACCCAGGGCCCUGCCAGUAACUGCAAUUCCUCCCCUUCUUUUUUUAAGCAAAAUGCAAUUCCUCACUUUUAUCUAUACCUCUCUCUCGUACACAUGCUCUCUCUCAAACACAGACACACACCACUCAACACUCUCACAGGUUUAUACUCCUCAUACAUUACCAUGCAUGCACACAGGCAAACAUAUACUCUUAGGCAAACUCUCACACACAAAGUCACACACACACACACUCUGAUGCAUGCACAGACACACACAGGUCAAUGGGGUAAAUUUGCAUUUGCAGAUACAUUCAAUUUUGAUCAAAAAAAGCACACAAUCGGCAGGCAGUCAAUCCAUGUAAUAUUUUAUACAUUCCUACUUUGGAAAUUCAAGAUUGGGAUACAGACAGAGUCAAACCUCACAUUCUUCAUUUACUGAGCUGAGAUGUCACUGAUUUUUAUAAAACCUUAAGUCAUCUCAAGAAUGUGACUCAAAAGUACUUCUGAGCUUUACAUAUUAAUUACAAAACCCACAACCCAUUCUAGAAGAUGAAAGACUAAACCACAAUCUUGAUUUGUUCAAUAUAUCCUAUCAGUAGUAUGACACUGAUCGGUUGCGAUAUGUUCCUGCUCCAUAGCUACCCGAUGAAAGAGCAGCACUCCGAAAGCUACUGCUUCCAAAUAAAUC